GAGGCUGGCCCAGGCCCGGAGGCAGGACUGAAGGCUCCUGGGGGAAGGAAUGGGGUGGGGAGGUGCGAUCUAUUACGCUGAUGACUCUGGGCCCUAAUCCUGUGCCAGGCCCGGCGGGUAAUGUGUGUGUAGGGGGAGGGUAGCACCCCCGCUGGGGUGUAAUUUCACGCUGAAGGGCCUGAUGGGGCGUCCCAGGGACUGAUCCUUUCUGGAUCAGAAAACCCACUUCCCUUUGUCGCAUGCAUGGCGAUUAGCACCUUAACCCUUUGUGGGCUGGCCCAGGGCCAGCCCUGCCCCAUCUCACCUCCAGCCCCUUGGGAUCUUAGCCCAGAGCCCUUUGCCUUCAAUCCAGCCAACUCCCCAACCUGGUCUUGUCUGCAGGGUGCAGGGAGGGAGAAGCUGUUGACUGAGGAAAGCCAGGGGCUGGAUUCUCAACUCCUGUCUGUGUCCCUGUUCCCUGGCACCCAGCUCCCCGAGGCCCUUGUGCCCCCAGAGAAGUGAGCUCACCAUGCCAUCUUUUCAGGUUCCUGUUACAGCUUGGAUCAAGUCCAGUUGCCUUCAGCAAGCCUGGGAUCUAGUCUAAUCCACUGCCUCGUUUGGGGAUACCCCAACUCACAGCCUUCCCACAUCCGCUGUGAUGGGGAGCUCACUACCUGCUGGCAACACAGCCAGUACCUUCCAUUCCCACUAACCUCUCAUGGGGAAUGAACAUUGACCCCAGGAGGCCAGGACCAUACUUCCAGCAACAUCUCAGAGACGUCCCUGGCCACUUUGUCCGACAGCAGCAUUCCAGGACUGGGUUUAUGAGAAUUUAAUAAAGCGUGGCC
rnacentral:lncRNA from 10 species